rnacentral:misc_RNA from 1 species
CUGAAAACAAUAUGCAGACUGGAAAUAGAGGGGAAGAUGAAAACAGGGGAUCUAUCUCCAAACACAACAUACGGAGCUUAUCUACUCAUGAAGAUUUCAGAUCGAUCAUUCGGGUUGGAUUCAAUUCCAUCAGAGGUCAGUAUUAUAGUCGGGGAUCAAGAACCCGUCAACAGUAGUGUGUAUCUACGGCACCCAAGGAGCAAGAAGCUAGAGUCUCUGUUUUACAGAAACAGAGUGGAAACGUUAAAAGCAAGAGUGAACAAAGGGGAGGAAAAAAUGGUUGGGGAAAGAGAAGAUGG